rnacentral:lncRNA from 12 species
GUUUGCAUUUAGCCUCAGGCCUUCUCAGCUUCACAGAAAAAUGAUGCUGAAGCAGCAGUUAGGUUUCUGCAGAUCAGCUCAGGAUGGCAGUCACUGGGGAGAAUUUUUAAUCUCAUGA